rnacentral:rRNA from 1 species
GACGAACGCUGGCGGCAGGCCUAACACAUGCAAGUCGAACGAACCGUUUACGGUGAGUGGCGCACGGGUGAGUAACACGUGGGAAUAUACAUUUCGGUAAGGAAUAACGUAGAGAAAUUUACGCUAAUACCUUAUAAUGACUACGGUCCAAAGAUUUAUCGCCGAAGGAUUAGCCCGCGUUAGAUUAGGUAGUUGGUAGGGUAAUGGCCUACCAAGCCUACGAUCUAUAGCUGGUCUUAGAGGAUGAUCAGCCACACUGGAACUGAGACACGGUCCGGAAUCCUACGGGAGGGAGCAAGGAGGAAUAUUGCGCAAUGGGGGAAACCCUGACGCAGCCAUGCCGCGUGAGUGACGAAGGCCUUAGGGUUGUAAAGCUCUUUCAGAUGUAAAGAUAAUGACGGUAACAUCAGAAGAAGCUCCGGCUAAAUUCGUGCCAGCCGCCGCAGUAA